rnacentral:rRNA from 1 species
UACAGAGGGGGCAAGCGUUGUUCGGAAUUACUGGCGUAAAGGGCGCGUAGGCGGCCUGUUAAGUCGAACGUGAAAUCCCCGGGCUCAACCCGGGAACUGCGUCCGAUACUGGCAGGCUUGAAUCCGGGAGAGGGAUGCGGAAUUCCAGGUGUAGCGGUGAAAUGCGUAGAUAUCUGGAGGAACACCGGUGGCGAAAGGCG